GCUUUGCUCAGUUGGUAGAGCAUGAGCCUCUUAAUCUCAGGGUCGUGGGUUUGAGCCCCAUAAUGGGCA